rnacentral:rRNA from 1 species
CCUGGUGUCAGCCGCCGCGGUAAUACCAGCUCCGCGAGUGGUCGGGACGUUUAUUGGGUCUAAAGCGUCCGUAGCCGGCUUACUAAGUCUCCGGCUAAAACCCACGGCUCAACCGUGGGAUCGCCGAAGAUACUGAUAGGCUUGGGGGCGGAAGAGGCCGAGGGUACUUCCGGGGUAGGGGCGAAAUCCUAUAAUCCCGGAAGGACCACCAGUGGCGAAGGCGCUCGGCUAGUACGCGCCCGACGGUGAGGGACGAAAGCUGGGGGAGCGAACCGGAUUAGAUACCCGGGUAGUCCCAGCUGUAAACGAUGCAGACUAGGUGUUGGAUAGGCUUCGGGCCUAUCCAGUGCCGCAGUGAAGACAAUAAGUCUGCCACCUGGGGAGUACGGCCGCAAGGCUGAAU